CCCACCAAUCGAAGGCACAGGUCUUGGAGAAAGAGCGGGGGACGGGGAGGAGCGGCACGGCGCGUGCGCAGUAGCUGCGGCUGGGGAAUUCAUGUGGAGGUCAGGGUGGAAGCAGGUGUGAGUGGGGCCAGCAGAAGGAAACAUGGCUGCAAAAGUGUUUGAGUCCAUCGGCAAAUUUGGCCUGGCCUUAGCUGUUGCAGGAGGCGUGGUGAACUCUGCCUUAUAUAACGUGGAUGCUGGGCACAGAGCUGUCAUCUUUGACCGGUUCCGUGGAGUACAGGACAUCGUGGUAGGAGAAGGGACUCACUUUCUCAUCCCUUGGGUACAGAAACCAAUUAUCUUUGACUGCCGCCUCCCGACCCCGUAAUGUGCCAGUCAUCACCGGCAGCAAAGAUUUGCAGAACGUCAACAUCACCCUGCGCAUCCUCUUCCGGCCUGUCGCCAGCCAGCUCCCCUCGCAUCUUCACCAGCAUCGGGGAGGACUACGACGAACGUGUGCUGCCAUCCAUCACCACGGAGAUCCUCAAGUCCGUGGUGGCUCGCUUCGAUGCCGGGGAGCUGAUCACCCAGAGAGAGCUGGUCUCCAGGCAGGUGAGCGAUGACCUCACCGAGCGAGGCGGCGACCUUUGGGCUCAUCCUGGAUGACGUGUCCUUGACACAUCUGACCUUCGGGAAAGAGUUCACAGAAGCUGUGGAAGCCAAACAGGUGGCCCAGCAGGAAGCAGAGAGGGCCAGAUUCGUAGUGGAGAAGGCUGAGCAGCAGAAGAAGGCAGCCAUCAUCUCCGCCGAGGGCGACCCAAGGCGGCUGAGCUGAUCGCUAACUCGCUGGCCACCUCGGGCGACGGCCUGAUCGAGCUGCGCAAGCUGGAGGCCGCCGAGGACAUCGCCUACCAGCUGUCUCGCCCUCGAAACAUCACCUACCUGCCGGCCGGGCAGUCGGUGCUCCUGCAGCUGCCCCAGUGAGCCGGGCCGGAGGCGCCUUCCCUUCCGCCCCCACCCCCAAAAUGAAUCACUGUGACACUUCAUGAUUGACCCGAAGUGACGGAAAUAAAGCUAAAAUCACUUUAGCCCGAUGAUUAUCCAAGGAAGGUCUUUUGUUCCUCCCGUAUCCACCUUUGUAUCCACCUCCCUACCAGAAACUGCCAAGUGCCUGUGCAGAGCGGCUCAGGGCUUGUGGGUGCCCCAGCCUGGGGCCCGGCAGCUGGCAGAAGGGCAGGGCGAUGGUGACCAGCGGGGUCGCUCUCCUGGCCUCCAUCCUGUCAGUGAAGAUUCCAGGACAGUGGCCGAGAGGGUGGGCAAUUCCUGCACAGCCAAGGAAUCUGCCCCUUUUGAGGUGGGUGGGCCUGGCUCUGCUGUCCCCCAAGGUCCUAAAACCAGGAUGGACUUGGAUAGGGAGCCAAGAGGAGACCUGGCCCCAGGUGCGUCCUGCUGGAGUCUUCCGGCUCCAAUGCCCGGUGGAAUUCCAGCUUGAAGGAUCACAUCCUGCCGGCCGCUGGGCCAGCCAAAGACGCGCAUCCCACGUUCCUGCUCCUCACUAGACCGCCCUUCCCCAGGGCUGCGCCUGGGCCCCAGAGGAAUCAAUCAUGGGAAGAAAAUAAAUCUGUGUAAACCGCUGUCAAUAAACGACACCCAGACCUUCCAGCUGCGGUGCGGGUUGUUUUUUCAGUGGGAUGAGAACAGAGCAUCCUAGCAGGCUUUGCCUGGGCGUGUUUGUAUCUCCACCUGGGAUGGAGCAUCCAGAGGGGCUUUGGUUUCAGAAUCUGGCCCUGGCCAGGAUGGAGCCACAGUGAUACCGAAGGUGAGGGUGGUUGUUUUGGGUUUUUGUUUUUUUUUUGGUACCGGGGAUCGAACUCAGGUCCUUGCAUUUGCGCAGCAGGCGGCGAAACCACUGAGCUAAAUCCCCGCCCAAGUGAGGGUGGUUGUGAGGUUGGUUCCUAGGAGGUAGAAGCAGAGGAGGUUAAUUCACUCCUCUGUGUGUGCUGGCACCAACUGGAGGUGCCUGGCCGCCAAGUCUGCACUGCCCCUACGCGUGAAGGAAGCACACAUGCCCGCCACCCUGCCUGCUCUCUAGCUGGGUUUGUGGUCAUAUUUGUAUGGCUUGGUUCUCUGGUCUGGUGACGAGGACCCGGAAACGCCUUGGCCUUGAGAUUGAGUUCAUGCGCUGGGGAUGGU
ensembl:lncRNA